rnacentral:misc_RNA from 1 species
UUAAUAUAAGGGGUGAGGGGGUUAACGAAGUUAAGCAACGACCCCUUAUAUUAAUAGAAUCACCUAGAAAAAAAAAUAAUAAAAGUCAUUUUCCAAACCCAGCUGGGAAAUGACUUUUUCAUUACGUCAUAAUGUCCGAACAGAUACUAGAUUCAUUAAGCACGUUUAGAUUUAUGGUUACUUGUAAUCUUGGUUUCAUUCGCUGCAAAUAAGAACCCUGAAAUCAAUCCGCAUCCUAAGUAAAUCAAUGGUAAUGGCAUGGUGUUACUCCUUGUUUAAUUCUUUAUAGAUGGCGUAGCCGAUGAUAAAUCCAAUACCAAAUAUGGGAUUGGAAAAAGCUGCAACAGGCAUAAUAUUUUCUUCUUUGUUUCAGAUAUAAAAAAGCGCCAUAUCAUUGCUGAUAUGGCGCUGUGUUAAGUGUUG